AAUGGCGGACGUAACGUUAUAUGUAAACAAGUCGUCUAGUCACAGCGUCCCAUAUUUUCCAAUUAAAAUCUAGAACAUUUCAUCAUUUGUAGGUUUCGAAAUCACUCAGACUUGGAAUUAUGAUGAGAUACAACAGGAUACAGAAAUGUUAAGUGUACAAGAAAGAUCCCGCUGGAUAAAGUGGAUACCCUCCUCUAUGGCUCAGCUUGCGCAAAUUGAAUCUCGCAUUUUAAAUUGUAUCAAAUGCAGUUUGGAGAAGAGAUUUGUUGUUCUACCUCAAAGUCAGCAUCGUAUAUGGACAAUUUGUAGCAAAUAAAGACAAGCCCCAAACCCCCUUGGUCAUGAUUCAUGGCAUGGGAGGUGGGGUAGGACUAUGGGUGCAAAGCAUAGACUCGCUGGCAGAGAAACGACCAGUGUACGCUUUUGACCUUCUGGGAUUUGGACGCAGCUCAAGGCCAAAGUUCAGCUCUAGUGCCAAACUGGCUGAAAUGGAGUUUGUGGAAUCUAUUGAAGAGUGGCGUCAGGAGAUGAAAAUUGAGAAAAUGGCCCUGCUGGGACACUCUCUUGGUGCUUAUUUAGCCAGUGCUUAUUCUUUGAAAUACCCUGAAAAAAUAGAACACUUAUUUCUAAUUGAUC